rnacentral:rRNA from 1 species
UACGUAGGGGGCAAGCGUUGUCCGGAAUCAUUGGGCGUAAAGCGCGUGUAGGCGGCUAGGUAAGUCUGCUCUGAAAGCCCGGGGCUCAACCCCGGGAGGCGGGUGGAUACUGUCUAGCUCGAGUCCGGAAGAGGAGUGUGGAAUUCCUGGUGUAGCGGUGAAAUGCGCAGAUAUCAGGAGGAACACCGGUGGCGAAGGCGGGUCUCUGGGCCGUAACUGACGCUGAGGAGCGAAAGCGUGGGGAGCGAACAGG